rnacentral:rRNA from 1 species
UCCUACGGGAGGCAGCAGUAGGGAAUCUUCCGCAAUGGACGAAAGUCUGACGGAGCAACGCCGCGUGAGUGAUGAAGGCUUUCGGGUCGUAAAACUCUGUUGUUAGGGAAGAACAAGUACAAGAGUAACUGCUUGUACCUUGACGGUACCUAACCAGAAAGCCACGGCUAACUACGUGCCAGCAGCCGCGGUAAUACGUAGGUGGCAAGCGUUAUCCGGAAUUAUUGGGCGUAAAGCGCGCGCAGGCGGUUUCUUAAGUCUGAUGUGAAAGCCCACGGCUCAACCGUGGAGGGUCAUUGGAAACUGGGGAACUUGAGUGCAGAAGAAAAAAGCGGAAUUCCACGUGUAGCGGUGAAAUGCGUAGAGAUGUGGAGGAACACCAGUGGCGAAGGGCGCUUUUUGGUCUGUAACUGACCCUGAGGCGCGAAAACGCGGGGAGCAAACAGGAUUAAAUCCCCUGGUAGUCCACCCCGUAAACGAUGAGUGCUUAGUGUUAGAGGGUUUCCCCCCUUU